rnacentral:rRNA from 1 species
GUGGGGAAUAUUGCACAAUGGGGGAAACCCUGAUGCAGCGACGCCGCGUGGAGGAAGAAGGUCUUCGGAUUGUAAACUCCUGUCGUUGGGGACGAUAAUGACGGUACCCAACAAGAAAGCCACGGCUAACUACGUGCCAGCAGCCGCGGUAAAACGUAGGUGGCAAGCGUUGUCCGGAAUUACUGGGUGUAAAGGGAGCGCAGGCGGAAGGACAAGUUGGAAGUGAAACCCACGGGCUCAACCCGUGAACUGCUUUCAAAACUGUUUUUCUUGAGUGGUGUAGAGGUAGGCGGAAUUCCCGGUGUAGCGGUGGAAUGCGUAGAUAUCGGGAGGAACACCAGUGGCGAAGGCGGCCUACUGGGCACUAACUGACGCUGAGGCUCGAAAGCAUGGGUAGCAAACAGGAUUAGAUACCCCAGUAGUCC